rnacentral:other from 1 species
ACACCCCUGCGGUGUUCGUGAGGUGCACUAUCCUCCUGAGCCGUUACUUAUGAGCCCAGGAACCUUGCUCUGUCCGUGAAGUGUCAGCCCUUCGGGGUUUUGCCAGAAGCGGAUACUCAGGGAUCCACCUGAACAAAUGGGUUCAGAGGCCGUAAACCCACGGCACAGGCGGGGGUGUG